UAUAUUCUGCUUUUUUGCUCUGUCCCAGGCUGGAGUACAGUGGCAUGAUCUCAGCUCACUGCAACCUCUGCCUCCCGGGGUUCAAGCGAUUCUCUUGCCUCAGCCUCCUGAGCAGCUGGGAUUACAGGCACGUGCCACUACGCCUGGCUAAUUUUUGUAUUUUUAGUAGAGUCAGGGUUUCACCAGGUUGGCCAGGCUGGUCUCGAACUCCUGACCUCAUGAUCUGCCCACCUCGGCCUCCCAAAGUGCUGGGUUACAGGAGUGAGCCAUUGCACCCGGCCCCCAUAUUCUGGUUUUUAAUGUGUCAAUAUAUUGUGGUUAUAAGGCCAUACCAUUACAUGCCUCUCAAUGCCUGUAUGUUAUUCUGUUGUCUUUACUAUUAUUUAUGUAGCAAAUCAAUCCUUUAUUGUUGGACAUUCAUGUUCUUUUUCAUUCUUUCUCUUACGUAUGAGGCUUCAAUGACCAUUUGCAUAUUUAAAUGUCCAUUUUUGUCUCCGGUUGUUUCUUCGGGGUAAUUCUUUUUUGUUUUUGUUUUGUUUUGUUUUGUUUUGUUUGUGACGAAGUCUUGCUCUGGCACCCAGAGUGCAGUGCAGUGGCAUGAUCUCGGCUCACUGCAACCUCUGCCUCCCAGGUUCAAGCGAUUCUCCUGCCUCAGCUUCCCGAGUAGCUGGGAUUACAGGCACCCACAACCACGUCCAGUUAAUUUUUGUAUUUUUGGUAGAGAUGGGGUUUCACCAUGCUGGCCAGGCUAUCUUGAACUGCUGACCUUGUGAUCUGCCCACCUCGGCCUCCCAAAGUGCUGAGAUUACAGGUGUGAGCCUGCACCUGGCUAUCUUCAGGAUGAUGAAGCUGAAACUCAGAGAAUUUGAAGCAGUUGCCUGAGAUUCCGCAGCCAGCCAGUGGCUCAGAGUGGAUUCCCGCCCCCGACUCUGGAUCCUAACGCUUUUCUCACCACCUCAUGGCACCUCCCUGGCAUUUGAACUUCCUGGUUGAAACUGAGGAUAAAGAGAGCAGGCGCGGCUCAUCAAGAUCCCCUUGUCAUUGGGUUGUGCUGCUCUGUCGUUCUCCUCACCAGCACCGCUAAUUGCACUCCAUUCCAAUGGCUCAUGGCCCUUCACACACACAAAGGCCCUGCUUCCCUGCCAGGGAAGACAGAGUAGGUUGCACAACUUGUCUGCAUUCACAGAGCAUGUCACCAACCAAGUAAGAAGGAGAACACACAAGUUUGGCCCUGGAAAACCCUUGGCUGACUCUGUUGAGAGGAAAGUGGGCCUCCAUGCUAACUGCAGACAGUGCAGAUAGAGGAACUGAGCUGUGAAAAUGGCUCUAAAAAGCCAACAGCAACUAUUAAUUAGACUUGACUGGGGUGGUCAGGGCUGCGGUUUGGAAUUGUCAGCUAUUUAUGCACAGGGGACUUUAGGUCACUCUGUGCUCUUAUCCCAUUUCCAAAACACACAUAACCAACGAAUGUUUCUCACAGUCUGGGUGGUCUCCCACAUGGGUCCUGCCCGGUCUGUUUUUCCAGUGGGACAAAACAUAGGCUCCUCCCUGGAAGAUUCCCGGAAGACCCCUCCUCCCGCCUUCACCUUUCAGUUCUGUAAGCUUCCUCAUCAGUGCUGUGUUUCUUUCCAGAGCUCUGACUCAAAUAACCCUCUGGUGUGACCUCAUCACAUUAUCACAACAGCCCUGUGAGGUUGGAAGAGGUGGGAGUAUUUCCUGAUAGAUUAAAGAUGGUCAUUCUCAGGC